GAUGAACGCUGGCGGCGUGCCUAAUACAUGCAAGUCGAGCGAACAGACGAGGAGCUUGCUCCUCUGAUGUUAGCGGCGGACGGGUGAGUCACACGUGGAUAACCUACCUAUAAGAAUGGGAUCACUUCGGGAAACCGGAGCUCAUACCGGAUAACAUGUUGAACCGCAUGGUUCAACAGUGAAAGACGGUCUUGAUGUCACUUAUAGAUGGAUCCGCGCCGCAUUAGCUAGUUGGUAAGGUAACGGCUUACCAAGGCAACGAUGCGUAGCCGACCUGAGAGGGUGAUCGGCCACACUGGAACUGAGACACGGUCCAGACUCCUACGGGAGGCAGCAGUAGGGAAUCUUCCGCAAUGGGCGAAAGCCUGACGGAGCAACGCCGCGUGAGUGAAGAAGGUCUUCGGAUCGUAAAACUCUGUUAGUAGGGAAGAACGAAUGUGUAAGUAACUAUGCACGUCUUGACGGUACCUAAUCAGAAAGCCACGGCUAACUACGUG
rnacentral:rRNA from 1 species